GACAGAGGAUGCAAGCGUUAUCCGGAAUGAUUGGGCGUAAAGCGUCUGUAGGUGGCUUUUUAAGUCCGCCGUCAAAUCCCAUGGCUUCAACCCUGGACAGGCGGUGGAAACUACCAAGCUGGAGUACGGUAGGGGCAGAGGGAAUUUCCGGUGGAGCGGGUGAAAUGCGUAGAGAUCGGAAAGAACACCAACGGCGAAAGCAACUCUGCUGGGCCGACACUGACACUGAGAGACGAAAGCUAGGGGAG
rnacentral:rRNA from 1 species